ACUCAUAGGGUAGCCUAGUGGACAUGGCAUCUUCCCGGUAAGCGGAACACUGUUGGUUCGAUUCCCAUCCCUGAAUA
rnacentral:tRNA from 1 species